AUCUGAUAUUGAAUUGUUGCUUCCAUUUGACUUGGUGACUUGUACACGGAGGCUAGCCUGAGCACAGAUUGGACAUGUGAGAACGACAUACUGUAUAAAAUGAAUUAUGUUUCAAUCCACAAUAAACAAUCACAUUCUCUCUUUCUACGACCUUGCCUGUUAAAAAUAGAAAGAAGGGCUGCAAUUCGCAAGCAGAGAAGCUGAACCGUUACAACCAGUGGGAGGACCUCCAAUUUUAUGGCAAGAGAGAGGAAGUGAACAGAGCAUGAUGAAUACCCUCUUUGCUUCCAUACUGCCCGCUGCUAAAGAGCAAUAGACAGGCAAGUAUGCAGGGUGCAUUGUGAAUAAGGUCUGGCUACAAAAGGCAUAGCAAGCUACUUGUUUAAAGUGAUUCAUUCAAUCACCCACGGAGGUGAAGGGUAAAGAGUUUAUGCAACACACUCUCAAUCUCUCUCCAGAAGACACAUUUGGCUGAGAACACCGCAGAUGUUGGCUGCUAUUUUAUAAAGGAACAUUUUGCUGUGUCAGCUUGGGUGGACUGAAAAAAAAACAUCGCUCGUAAUGCGUGAAGAUCCCUCCCAGUGCAGAAUGAGUCUCUGAGUGGCGGUAUGGCCCCAGCUCUCACCUGUUAUGAGGGGCUCCACAGAUCUCGGUGGUCUUUCCCACAGGCACACCCCCUCCGAGGGCAUCGUCCAGCCUUGAGGAGAAUGUAACAAUGCUGCCCUGAGCCUGCUCCUUGUGCAAAAGAUCAAGGGCUGUUAUAC